rnacentral:lncRNA from 1 species
CUCUCCAGGCUCGGGGUCGGGAAUGAGCGAGGGUCCGGCAGAUUUGGGGCUCCGAGGCCACAGGUAUAGCAUGAAGCUGUUUGGUGUGUAUACAAAGCUGCAGGAUUCACUCUUCCGGGGCACAGAUGCCUGAGAAACUUCAGAGAGGCAGAAGGCGUGAGUCUGAGCAGCCAUCAUCUGGGCAUCAAGGGGUUAACCCAUCCCUGAGGGCUGGGCCAGGUCUUUUCCUCGGACUGGGCCCCGCCCUCCGGUUCCUCCAUAGAAGCCACUGGAGUCAACUAGGAGCUCACUUUGUGGGAGGGAGAAACGUUUUUUUCUCUUAUUUGAAUGGUGCUGGUGACCUCACAAGGUUUCCAUGGUGACAAGACCAAGGGAGCCAGGGGGCCUUGGUGAAUUAGGCCAAACAAACCCACCUCCAAGAGUCUUCUCCCAGACUCCAGCCUUGAGGAUGAGGACUCCAGGUAAUCAGUGAGCUUGCUGAAGAGGGAAGGUUGGGGGCUGGGGACAUGCCAGGCCAGGACCUGCAACAGAAACCGCCGCCCCACCUUUCCUUUCUGUGCCCCACCCCAUCCUGCCUAAAAAGUUGCUUUCCAUGAGGGCUUGGUGCUGAGUGUGGCCCCCACAGGGAUGUCUGUGUGGUCACAGAGUACCUGUGGGAGGGCAAUUCUGACCCCAAGGUAGGAAGCAGUGAUCCGGUAAUUCCAGGCACCAAGGCAGAUAAAAAGACCAAGGUAGGUGAACAGCAGAGUAGAGGCCUGGGUGUGAAAGGAGAAAGCCAUGAGCAUCUGGUUGGGAGUGGGAGCCCUGCUCUCUGAAGCUUGACUUUCUCAGGAGCAGCUGGGGGCUGGAGCUUGGGAACACAGGAUCAUGGGAUCCAAGUGACCAGGGUUUGAAACCAGGCAUAAAUAAUGCCUGCACUCUAUGGUUGUGGCCUACAUGGGACAUCACAGGGAAAGCACCGAGUAGGUGCUCAAUAUGUGUUUGUUUCCUCCCUCCUUCCCUUCCUCUCCUCUCCACCACUCAACAGCCACAGCCUCCUCAAGAAGUUUGAAGUCUGCAUUGAACUCAUUAAUUUCCAGCUUUUGGCCGGGCGUGGUGGCUCAUGACUAUAAUUCCAGCACUUUAGGAGGCCAAGAUGGGGCCCAUGAGUGAGGAGGACAAGAGAGAAAGGAGAAGUUUGGGUGUAAAUCCCAGAGAUUGUUCAUCAUGUGAGAGGAGCCGUGCAUGCAUUUCAUGCCAUACUCACACCAUGGAUGGAGAAAAAAAAUCAAGCUUCACUUUCUGAGAAUGGCCCUGGGGGCACUGCAUCUAGUGCCUGUGCAUCUGCAGACCUGCCGGAUGCCUCCAGGGGAAUCAUGCCACCCCAAGCAAGAAAGGGCCCAGUUGCCAGGAGCCUGGAGGCAGAGAGCUGAGGAGCCAGCCCCUGACAUCAGAAUGGAGCUCAAAGGUUGGCUGGGUGUGACUCUGCCGUGGACAGCUUCUCUUGGGAAAUCUACUUUAAUGAAUCCAGGGGACCAAUUUGUAAUCAGCCCAUCAGAUGUUCAGCGACACUUAGCUGGAAUCUCGUUGCUGGACUCUGUGCCCCGCAGUGGAUGACAGUUCUCCAUCAGGGUCUGCAGUCCUCUACCCUGGACUUGCUGCAUCCUGGAGCCCCCAGCAGUCAGGUACCGGCUCUCAGAACUGCCUGCAUCCCAUUGGCCUGAGCUGCUGUCUGCCAGGGCUGCUGGUAACCAGGCCCACAGGGUUGGAUAUUCCCCCAACAGGGCAGCUCCCAGUCCAAGCCCAACUGUUACCAGCCCAGAAAGAUGUUUCAGGAUACCCCUUUCCUCCCCACUUCCCUGCCCUCUGCAGCUCCAGCUGGUGCACCCCAUCUUUCUCUCCCCCUCCCUGCUAGGCUGGGCCCUAACAGGAGACCUUUGAGGUGGUUGGGCUUGUUCUGCAACCUUGAGUACCCUUGAGCUACUGCCUCACUCCUCAGUUUUCUUCUUCUUAAGGUUUCUAAUUGGACUUUGCCAGUGUAUUUAUUUCAAAACUGGUCAUCUUACUGACCUCGCUCAUAGUCUCUUAUUACUUUUCUAGUUGAUUCUCUUGAGUUUUCUGGAUAAACAAUAAUAUCAUGUACAAAUAAUGAUGACAAUUUCUCCUCCUUUCCAAAUGUUGUGUUUCCUUUUGUGUAUUAAUGUACUCUUGCCUUGGCUAAAACUUCCAAAACAAUGUAAAAUAAUUGUGUUAAUAGCAGGCUUUCUCAUUCUACCCUGACUAAAAUAUGAAUGACCCUGGCUAGGUGUUUUAUUGCUAAGAAUGAUGUUGACGGUUGGUUGCAGAUAGGUUUUUUUUAUUAUUAUUAUGCCAAGGAAAUGUUCUUUUAUUUUUAUUUUACUAAGGGUUUUCAGCAGAAUGGAUAUUCAGUUCUGUCAAAUGAGUUUUUGAUGUCAGUUAAGAUGAUCACAAAACUAUUUCCUUUCUGGUAAUUGACAUGAUUAAUUAUAGGGGUGGAUUUUCUGAUAUGUAAACGUCAUCACUUCUAAUGUAGACAUCUUUGAAUUGCGGAAGAGAUCCAUUGCCAGGGAGAAUCUGUAUUGGUUGGAUCUGUAUUGUGCUGAGUCCCAUGAAUGUGAACUCAUAACUUUUCCCGCAUCACCCCCUAAUCCAGGAUGGCCUGUCAGGCAGGAGCACUGUGACGCCUAAGGGCUUGAGCUGGGGCUCUGGAGAGCUGGAUGGGGUGUCAGCUUGUCCCAGGGUGAUCUUUCUAAAGGCCAGUCCAAUCACAUGACUCCCUUUAGUGGCUCCCCAUUGCCUUCAGCAGGAAACUCGAGCUUCUGUGUGCAUUUUCCAGGCCUCUUACAACUGGCCUCUGUCCACACCACUUAUCACCUCCAAUCUCUCACCUAGAACCAUAUAGGACCAGAACUCCUGGAAGGAGGCUCCCCCACAUCUCCUAUGCCUCCGGCCCUCUCACUUGGCUGCUCUCCUGCCUGGAAUGUCCUUUCCACCUUCCUUCCCAGGCAGGACUUAUCAGUCCCUGCUCUUCCGACCCCACAAAGCUCAGUUACUGCGUCAUUGCUACUUACCAGGGGGAGGUUAGUUUCUAUGUUCACCUCUAUCUCUAGAAGCCCCAGGAGGUUGAGGACCUGCCUGAUCCACCCCAUCUCAUCUCCCAGCCCAGUGUCUGCCCCAUCACAAAUGUUGCUCAAUCAGCCCUAGGUCAAACAUUUUGUUCACACUCAUGGACCCCCUACUUGACCCACCGCCUGUGACCUGCAGGGUUCGCUGUCCCAGUGGUGGGCACUGAGAGGCCCCAGUCGCAGGCCUCACAGGUGGCUGCAGCUCCCUGGAGCCUCUUUAGAAAAUGCAGUCGGCCUUGUUUCCUCCUCAGAAACAACGACUUAGCACAGCAUCCGGGCCCCAGGGGAGAGUGUUCCCCCCUCAAAAGCUGCUGCCAUUGGAGAUGCAGGAGAGGAAGCCAAGUGGGCCCAGGAGGGACCGGAUGAUUCGGGGUAGAUGGGAGGGAGUGAGCAGGAGGGGCUCUGAUAGGCUGCAUCCCUGGGGUUUCCUGCACAUCCCAGAUGCUGGCACCUGCUCUGGGCCUGGGCCGGCAAUAGCUCUGUGUCUGGCUCUCCACCGGGCCUUGGGUGCAUCCCCUGAUUCCCCCAGGGUCUUCUCACCCGACUCUCCAUGGGAUCCAUUUUCAACUCUCUGUGUUCCCUCAACUACUAGGCAGCCAGCUAGAGUCCUCACCUCUUCAGAAAAGCUGAUACUAGUUAAGCAUCCCAAGUCUGAAAAUCUGAAACCUGCAAUACUCCAGAAUUUGAAACUUUUUGAGCGUGGACAUGAUGCUCAAAGGAAACGCUCAUCAGAGCAUUUCAGAUUUGGGAUUUGGAGAUUUGGGAUGCUUAACCAGUAACUAUUUGUAAAUAUUCCAAAAUCUGAAAAAAAAAUCCCCAAUCGGAAACACUUAUGAUCCUAAGCAUUUUGGAUAAGGGAUGUUCAACCUGUAUCAAAUGGAGGGCUGCUUGGCUGCUAAGCCUGGGGUGGGACAGGAGCAGCCCAGACCUGCCCCUUCUUUUUUGCCAAGCAAUCCUGAGUUACACAACACAUUCCUGGCUACUAUAUAAUAAGAGGUUAGGUGACAUGACUUCAAGGGCAUCGGAGUUGGGUUGUGGAGUCUGGCAGACCCGGGUUCAAGUUCUAGCUCCACCUCUUGCUAACUGUGUGAUUUUGGGCAAGUUACUUAGCCUCUCUGAGACCCAAUUUCUUCAUCUGUGGAACAGAGUACCUACCUAUGGAGGUGUUGUGAGGAUUACAUGAAAUGACUGACUGACUAUAAAGCACUUAACACAGUGCCUGGCACGUAGUCGGAGUUCAAUGUACAUUAGCUGUUUUAUAAGUUACAGGUCAGCACAGGCUGGGCCAUAGCUGUCGCUUCAUACACCUUUGUCCCCCAUGCAUGGGUGGAGAAACUGAGGCCCAGAGAGGAGCGGGACAUCACAUCGCUGCAUCCCCUUCAUCAGCCUGGGCUGACACCUACUGAGGAGCUCUCUGCUGUAAUGGUUUCAAUCACAACAAACCUGACGCAUGGAGUCUUAGAUCUUGGGCUUGCCUUCUGCACAGCCUGGCACCCUCUUGUUUAAGAAACCUUUACAUUGCACUAAAUGCCAGGAACAGUUAUAAGCCCUUUAUACGUAUAAUAACAAUAUUAUGCAUAUUAACCUUAAUCCUUCUAGCAAACCCAUGAGAGAGAUACUAUCAUUAUCCCCAUUUUACAGAUGAGGGAAUGGAACAGUUCGAGGGCUUGCCCAAGGUCACACGGCUAGCAAGUGGGAGGACCACUAUUCACCAGCAGGGAUGCCAUCGACAAGGUUUCCACCCUGAGGUGAACAUAGCCUGGGCUCUGUGGUGUGAUCAUCGCGGGGUGAUCUGGGGUGUCUGGGGCACCUGAAGCCUGUCUUCUCCCUGCACCCUGAUGCUCGGGUGGAGGAGGCAUUUUGGAGGGGACUUGGUGGCCUGUGACUGGGCACAGCGGGAGCAUCUGCUUUGUCCUAUUAAUGCUAUUCACUAGAUGCCACAUCUCAGGCCACAGCAGGUAUUUCCCUCGAGAGAGGACAGUGAAAACUUGGAACAGAAGAGCUUUUUAUUAUUCAGAAUAACUGCACUAUUUAAUUUACUAUUAAUAAUAGCUCUUGAGUCAACCUUCUCCUGAAGAGAAGUGAGAACUGAAAGGAUGUCCCUCUCUUCUCUCCCCUCCUCCCUCCUUUUCUGCCUCCUUACUUCGGAAUGCUGUGAACUCAGUCACGAAUGAUUGAGCUGUUUUGGGGGUAGGAGUGGGAGAAAUGGAGGCCCAGCUCAUGCAGCGAGCCUGGUUACUCCUCCUCCCUGCAGAGCCUUGCUCUGCUGCUCCUCGGGGGUCCCUGGAGGCCAUGACCCAUCUGUUGUCAGAUCCCUCCGGGAAAGAGGAUGACCUGUCCUCCUAGGCUGGGCUGGAGGCUAGAGGCCAGGAGGCUGUUUCAGCUGCAGCAAAGGGAAGGCUGCAUCCAGCAAUCCUUGCCCUCCUUGUCCUGAGGGCAGGAGUGUGUGUGCUGAAAUAAGAAGAUGGGGAUCCCGUCAGAGACCCAUCUUCUGCCCUCUGCAUCCAGCGAAGGGCUCAGCGUUAAGAAGGAGCACGUCCAGAGAGGACUACAGCCAGGAAUGAGACUUGAACCCAAGCCAGGGGAGGAGGAUUUGGUUUGGAGUUCAGAAGAGUUGGGGGACUGAGAACUGCUUUCAAAGAACCUGAGGGAUUUGGUUCUUCAUCUACAAGCCCUCACUGAGGGCCUGCUCUUCCAGGUGCUGGGAACAUGUGAAGCCCCCAGAGGGGCAGAGGCAAUGAGAUAUAACUAAUGCUACUGUAAGGCAGUGCUCCAAGGACAGGACCACCAUGUCCGGUGAAGUCCUAGGAGGUGAGGACUUGGCUUGCCUCAUUCAGAGCUAAAUGGGCCUCCUGGCUCCCUGAGGCAAAGGAUAUAGAUGGUCUUCUAGGGUUGACUUUAUCCCUUGGGCAUUUAUUCAAGACGUCAGGCACGCUCCCGGCAUCUACAUCCUUGACUCUGCCUCCUGUAUUGGGGCCCUGUGGGAUCUCAGGUGUGUCAGGUGGCCCACUGGGGCUGACCUUCCAGAAGAUAGAGGCCUGUUUCUCUCUUUCUCCUAACUACCCAACUGUGCAGAGCUAGAGGACAGUGGCUGUCCCCACAAAGGUCUCUCACGGCUGCAGACCAGCACCCCGUCCACCUCCUCUCACCCCUGGGACAUAGCCAACCAGCCUGCUCUCCUCUUGUCAAUCUCCUCACACCCUGCCCAUCUGUAGAGUGGGCUGAAUCCUAGAUAUCCUUAGGUGAUUGAAGAGUGCUUUCUAACACUCUGGUGCGGGGUGGUUUCGGUCUGGCUUUCCGAACGUGCCAGAGCUGGGUUCCACAUACCUGCAUGCACAUACACUCCUAAGCACACACGCUGCCUCCACGCAUCCCGGCUUUCAUUGUGAGGGCCCCACUCUUUAUUCAAGGAGCGGUCUCGGGUGUCUGAAUGGAUGCUUGAAGGCUCCGUCUUUGCAAUUAACACGCUGCUGCAGUAUUAUUAGCCUCUGAUAGGCAGGUCUGCCUUUGCCAGAAACUAUAAAUAUGUGGGGCCAAUGACUCAGCAAAUCUGUUGCUAUUUUUCUUGCAGGUCCGUGUGGAUCUGUAUCUGUGUACACCAUGGCCCCAUCUCCCAGCAGCUCCCAUGGCUUGUAUCCAUGGAAACGCAGUCCUCCCCAACUAUGGUUCUCUGCUGACAAAACCUGGGAGUCUCCCCAGCCCCCUACCCA